UACGUAGGGUGCAAGCGUUGUCCGGAAUUAUUGGGCGUAAAGAGCUCGUAGGCGGUUCGUCGCGUCGGCUGUGAAAACCCGGAGCUCAACUCCGGGCCUGCAGUCGAUACGGGCGGACUCGAGUUCGGCAGGGGAGACUGGAAUUCCUGGUGUAGCGGUGAAAUGCGCAGAUAUCAGGAGGAACACCGGUGGCGAAGGCGGCGACCUGGUCCGAUACUGACGCUGAGGCGCGAAAGCCGUGGGGAGCAAACAGG
rnacentral:rRNA from 1 species